AAAAAGUUGCUCCAACUACAUAUAAUAUAAAAUGGUACGACAUGGAUUUGAGACUCAGAAAGACAAUUCAAAUGAUGAUAUUGAAAGGCCAAGAACCCAUGUUUUAUUCUGCUGGCAUAUUCUAUGCAUAUUCCUUUGAAUUAUUACUGAAGAUUGCUUACGAUGGAUUUACUUUCAGAACAAUCUUAAAUGAUUUAAAUUCCAGGUUUUAAUCAUCUAUAACUAUUUGUUAACACUGGGAUCAUUGCUAAGAAUUUCAAUUUCAUUGGAGGCUUGAAGGUAUUUUUGUUUUGAGAAAAUAAAUCGAUCUUCUGCAUUGAUUAAUUUUUCAAAUAGGCAUAAUUUCAUUAAAAUUCACUUUGAGAAAAGACUACAGUU